rnacentral:ncRNA from 1 species
CUACGGACUUAGAAAACUGAGCCUUAACAAAGAAAUUUGCUAAGUGUAAGCUCUCAAACUCAGGGAAACCUAAAUCUGGCAAUAGACAUGGCAAUCCUGAGCCAAGCCUAAGAUAAAGACUAAGGAAAUUACACCUUAAUCAACUGUCUCAGGAAGGUGCAGAGGCCCGACGGGAGCUACCCUAACGUAUUCAGUCGAGGGUAAAGGGAGGGUCCAAUUCUCAAAACCAGGG